GCUGACACAUCCCGGCCAAUCUCCAGCAGACCCUCCCUCCCAGAUCCUCCUACUUCCUGGACAGCAUCCAUGUUGAAGGCAGCUUCAACAUGGAUGCUGUCCAGGAGGUGGGAGGGUCUGGGAGGGAGGGUCUGCCGGAGAUUGGCAGGGAUGUGUCAG
rnacentral:miRNA from 1 species